GACGAACGCUGGCGGCGUGCUUAACACAUGCAAGUCGAACGGAAAGGCCUCAGCUUGCUGGGGUACUCGAGUGGCGAACGGGUGAGUAACACGUGGGUGAUCUGCCUUGCACUCUGGGAUAAGCUUGGGAAACUGGGUCUAAUACCGGAUAUGAACUGCCAUUAGUGUGGUGGUUGGAAAGUUUUUUCGGUGCAAGAUGAGCUCGCGGCCUAUCAGCUUGUUGGUGGGGUAAUGGCCUACCAAGGCGUCGACGGGUAGCCGGCCUGAGAGGGUGUACGGCCACAUUGGGACUGAGAUACGGCCCAGACUCCUACGGGAGGCAGCAGUGGGGAAUAUUGCACAAUGGGCGGAAGCCGGAUGCAGCGACGCCGCGUGGGGGAUGACGGCCUUCGGGUUGUAAACUCCUUUCGACAGGGACGAAGCAUUUUGUGACGGUACCUGUAUAAGAAGCACCGGCUAACUACGUG
rnacentral:rRNA from 1 species